AAAUCAAAAGUAAAAAUUACAUUCAGUUUCGGUUUGAAAAUAUUAGAUAUUAUCUAUUGAUUUA
rnacentral:tRNA from 1 species